rnacentral:rRNA from 1 species
UGGGGAAUAUUGCACAAUGGGCGCAAGCCUGAUGCAGCCAUGCCGCGUGUGUGAAGAAGGCCUUCGGGUUGUAAAGCACUUUCAGCGGGGAGGAAGGCGAUAAGGUUAAUAACCUCAUCGAUUGACGUUACCCGCAGAAGAAGCACCGGCUAACUCCGUGCCAGCAGCCGCGGUAAUACGGAGGGUGCAAGCGUUAAUCGGAAUUACUGGGCGUAAAGCGCACGCAGGCGGUCUGUCAAGUCGGAUGUGAAAUCCCCGGGCUCAACCUGGGAACUGCAUUCGAAACUGGCAGGCUAGAGUCUCGUAGAGGGGGGUAGAAUUCCAGGUGUAGCGGUGAAAUGCGUAGAGAUCUGGAGGAAUACCGGUGGCGAAGGCGGCCCCCUGGACGAAGACUGACGCUCAGGUGCGAAAGCGUGGGGAGCAAACAGG